CUUUCCUACAGUAAACCGCCUCGACGAAUCCGAAUCUCUUCGCAGAGACACUGAGCUAAACAUACAAACACGUAAAUAAUAAGAGACUGAAGGUUUUUAUCUGUUUUAAUGAGACGCCGACUUAACGGUCGCCAUGCUAACACUCAAACGCUAUUGCAAGUCUCGAGAAUGUAGCGCGAGCGCUGUUCGAUUCUAGAAAUUUCGGAGUCGACUCCGACUUCGAUUCCGACUCUGAUUCUCAAUGGAGUCGACUCCUAGUGUUACUGGGUCACGCAGCGUUGUGGUAAAUUGUACGCUGUAAUAAUCCAUGACAGAUGUCAAACUUGUUGUUUAUAAAUGGUCCUUGCCAGCGGUCUCUGUUUGUAAGUUGUUUGGUAUGUUCUCUCCGUGCCAUCUGGUAUUGGACAGUGGUAGCCUGCCUUGUGGGUAGAGCUUCGGACUAUCAACCCGAAAGGUUGAGGGUUCGAAUCCCAUCCCAGCCCUGCCAUGCAGCCACUGUUGGACCCUUGAGCGAGGCCCUUAACCCUCUCUGCUCCCCGGACGCUGUACGAUGGCUGACCCUGCGCUCUGACCACAGCAUCCAAACAAACUGGGAUAUGCGAAGAAAGAAUUUUGUUAUACUGUACUUGUGUAUAUGUAUAUAUGACAAAUAAAGGCGUUCUAUUCUAUUCUA